rnacentral:rRNA from 1 species
UGGGGAAUUUUGCGCAAUGGGCGAAAGCCUGACGCAGCGACGCCGCGUGGGGGAAGAAGGCCUUCGGGUUGUAAACUCCUUUAGUACGGGAAGAAGCCGAAAGGUGACGGUACCGUAAGAAUAAGCCACGGCUAACUCUGCGCCAGCAGCCGCGGUAAUACAGAGGUGGCAAGCGUUGUUCGGAUUUACUGGGCUUAAAGGGCGUGUAGGCGUCCUAGUAAGUCAGAUGUGGAAGCCUUGGGCUCAACCCAAGAAUUGCAUUUGAAACUAUUAGGAUUGAGUCGUGCAAGGGAGGGCGGAAUUCCUGGUGUAGCGGUGAAAUGCGUAGAUAUCAGGAGGAAGGCCGGUGGUGAAGACGGCCCUCUGGGCAAUGACUGACGCUGAGGCGCGAAAGCGUGGGUAGCAAACAGGAUUAGAUACCCUGGUAGUCCACGCCCUAAACGGUGCGUACUAGGUGUGGGUGGCGAUAGUCAUCCGUGCCGAAGGGAAACCAUUAAGUACGCCGCCUGGGGAGUACGGCCGCAAGGUUG